UUAUGAGAAAGGUUAGGUUAGGACUCAAUUUAUCCCUUCCAGACCCAUAUCCAAUGGGGACUAAACUAGUCAUACACACAAUCAUCAGGUGAUACGGUGAUCAUUGCUCAUAAAUGAGCAUCUAGCACUGGAUUUGAUUUUGCCAUGGCCAUAAUUUUGUCAAACUGUUACAUAUGAUGUCCACUGUUGUUUUGAAGGUGUGAGUAAGCCCUGCUUUGGCAGCAAUCAGUGGUUCAACAAGUAUAAUUGAAAUAUAAACCACUGAUUUUGAGUUCUUUGUUGCUGGUAAAUACUAAAUAGUAAAUAUAGUCACUCUUUAAUAGUUUGUGUUUUUGCAUGUGCAUGUGUUUGCUAGCAUUUAAAUUAGAGUUUUUCCCAUUUGUUUUGCAGAAUAAAACAUAGUACAUAAUUUUCUUUUAUUGAGCAAUAUAUAUAUUUGAUUUUGAUAUAUUUUGCCUUGAUAAUUUUAGGUCACCAACAAUUAUUUCCAUUCCAAAGUCAUCUGACAGUGUCUCCUCUAGUUCAUCACGGAGCAAGACUCGGGGGAGGUUAACUCGCAAAGAUUUGCGGUUGCACAAGUUGGUAUUUCAGGAUGAUGCACUACCUGAUGGAACUGAACUAGCUUAUUUUGUUCAUGGGCAGAAAUGCACAGAAGAUUAUAAGAAGGGUUUUGGAAUAUUUUGCUUUUGCUGCCAAAGUCAGGUCAGCCCUUCUCAGUUUGAAGCACAUGCGGGUUGGGCUUCUCGUCGCAAGCCUAGUUCAGCACUGAAGUUUUACGCAUGCAACAAGAAAUUGCAAGGCUCAGGGAGAACACUGCACAUUUUCAGGCUACGGUUGAGACGAAACUCGAGACACUUCGCUGUGAACUUUUAAAGUAAGGGCCUGGAUUGGGUUUCAAGUGGUGGUCAGAGUCAUGGAAGUACCUAGUUUAUAUUUGGUUCUAUCAAAACAUGUUACAGGUUUCUGUUUGCUUUGUGUUUUAGAAACUGUGUUUGAAUUCUAAUCUCUAUUUGGUUGUGUAUGAGUCUGUUUAAUGGUGUUCCCACAUAUGUAUGUUGAGUGUAGUGUUGUAAGAUGAUUAGGAUAUAUACUGUAUGUUUGAUUGGUCAAAUAUAUAAAUUUACAACU